UACGUAGGGGGCAAGCGUUAUCCGGAAUCACUGGGUGUAAAGGGAGCGCAGACGGCUGAGCAAGCCUGAAGUGAAAGGCGGGGGCCCAACCCCCGGACUGCUUUGGGAACUGUACGGCUGGAGUGCAGGAGAGGUAAGUGGAAUUCCUAGUGUAGCGGUGAAAUGCGUAGAUAUUAGGAGGAACCCCAGUGGCGAAGGCGGCUUACUGGACUGUAACUGACGUUGAGGCUCGAAAGCGUGGGGAGCAAACAGG
rnacentral:rRNA from 1 species